GGACUCUGGUCCCUUCUCCAGCUUGGGAGAGUCCCUGCAAGCCUUUAGCACACCGACCUUUGCAGAAAUAGCACAAGGCAUGGCUGGUUCCAGAAAAUGGCUUAGUGGGAAUAGGAAAGGCAAUGCUGUGGAAUGAAGAUGAUCGUGGACCUGGAAUUCAGACUGCCUGGCUCCAAAUCCUAUUUCUACUUCCAGUGGGUCACUCUUGGGCUGAGAUGUCUGUUCCUUGUCAGAAUGGCUUAAGACAAAAUCUGGGACUACCAUCUUGAGUUGUCUUGCAGCACACCAUCAACCACGAACCUGCUUUGAAGUUCAUACGCCCCAGACUCAAAGGAGCCAAGGAGGACCUUAGUCAGCAUGCCGGAAAUAGUUGCGCUGACUUCACUGUGAGACAAUCAGAUUCCCACACAACUUCCAGGACCCCCACUCAUGAUUUUGCUCUAUAAAAGCUUGUGAGUUUAAGCUACCUAGGAGGUCGAGG